rnacentral:misc_RNA from 1 species
GUAUUGAUUAAAGGCACAAAGGCCAUUUAAAAACAUUCUAUUACAUUCAUGUGGGGUAUAUUUAUGUGAAAACAUAGACAUGAAAUGCAAGGAAAGCCGGCUUGCGCGCAGCAUAUCCUCAAACCGAGUCUCCUCGAGGGGUAUUCCAUGGUCUACAAAAAGUGCACAGGUGGUACAAACAGUGCUGAGUGUGCACAUGUCCCUAGGGACCAGCAUCAACCCAACAGAGGUUAUUCAAUAAUGAUCCUUCCGCAGGUUCACCUACGGAAA